UGGGGAAUAUUGCACAAUGGGCGCAAGCCUGAUGCAGCCAUGCCGCGUGUGUGAAGAAGGCCUUCGGGUUGUAAAGCACUUUCAGCGGGGAGGAAGGCGAUAAGGUUAAUAACCUUGUCGAUUGACGUUACCCGCAGAAGAAGCACCGGCUAACUCCGUGCCAGCAGCCGCGGUAAUACGGAGGGUGCAAGCGUUAAUCGGAAUUACUGGGCGUAAAGCGCACGCAGGCGGUCUGUCAAGUCGGAUGUGAAAUCCCCGGGCUCAACCUGGGAACUGCAUUCGAAACUGGCAGGCUAUAGUCUUGUAGAGGGGGGUAGAAUUCCAGGUGUAGCGGUGAAAUGCGUAGAGAUCUGGAGGAAUACCGGUGGCGAAGGCGGCCCCCUGGACAAAGACUGACGCUCAGGUGCGAAAGCGUGGGGAGCAAACAGG
rnacentral:rRNA from 1 species